UUUACCUUGUGUAUUGAUGUUUCGGGAAUUGUCUUAAGCCGAAACAUUUUGCAUGAGAAAACAAGGACUACGGGUCUGGGGGAAGGGAGAGCCCCCCCUAGAAUGGGGUGGGCGCUUUAGGGGGCCGAGAUCCCCCGGGAGUGCGGGUGGGCCGGGAGCCAGCGCGGGCAGCGCUCCGUGCCCCCCUCCCUUCCUCCCUUCCUCCAUCCCCUCCCCCUUCCCCUGCAGCGCGGGCUUUUCCGAAUUUCCCGGCGGCCCAAUGAGCGGCUGCGGCCUCUCCCGGCGCCAAUCCCGGGCAGCUCCCGCGCCGCUCCGCCCUUCCCGCCGCCCCGCCCGGCCGCGCUGCGCCGCCAGCCCGCGGAGAGCCGCGCUGGGCACUCCCGCCCGCCGCCCGCCCCAGCGAGCGCCUCCUGCGGAAAGUAGGUCGGUGAAAUCACGCAGAAAUGGAGAGCUGCCCCGCGCCGGCGAGCGGGAGGGUCACUGCCAGGGAAGCGAGGAGCCGCGCUGACAGCUCCCUGCUGCGGUCACUGAGAGGAGUGGCAGUCGCGUCCGUGCUGCUCGGAAUCGCGCUGGUUUAGAGCAACGAGAGGAACCUCCACGCCCCAGAAAGGUGAAGUAAUAAAUACUCUGAAGGAAAGGAAAAAAAUGUGGAAAAAAAUUAGGCCUGACGGUACUCCACGGUAAAAAACAGACUGAAAGGGAUAUGGAAUGGGCUGUGAGAUCUGCCAUGCCUCUCCUGAACGUGACAUUGGUCCCACAAAAACAACUGCACCGAGUCCACAGGAGCCAUAGAUUUUGCAAGUCGUUUGAGAGACCAACUAACUUUGUAUUGAUUUCUGAAGAAAGCUGAAGAAAAAGAAGAAGAAGGUAAGUGCAGAAAGAUGAAGAAACAUAGGAAUCUACAUGCAAAAAUAUGGAAAUGAAACACUACCUGCAACCUUUACAGAGUGCCUGGAAAGAACUGGAAUGUGGUAUUUGAAACUAUGUGACAUGCUCUGUCCUCCCAGGGGUGCACAACAGAAUAAAUUUUAAUUUUUUCCUUUUUUUUGUGAUGGAUAUUGUAAAUACUGAUUUAGUCAGAAAUGCAAAUUGAAAUUAUGCCAUCCAUAUAGAAUAACUUUGUCCUACCCCUUCAGGGAGACCCAGGACGUACAUGCAGUUGGAUGCCAUUUCCUAAGAUAUCAAAAGUAAUUCCAGCCCUUUGUUCUGAGUGGAGGGAAGUUGGAUGCUGAAAAUUUUCCUGGGACAAUAUGCUGCAGGCCCAGCUAUGCACCCAGACUGUGCAGCCUCUCUUACUCUUUUAGUUUCUGAGCAGUAUGGCCAAGACCUAAGCACAAAAUCAUUUUGGGCUACAGAUUAGUGCAUUUCUUGGGUUACAGACUCAGCACACACUGAGGAAGGGAUAACUCAUUGAUGUUGAGUUGCAGUAACUACAAGGUCAAACAGUAUCUAAUUUUUCUUCAUUUUAUAUGAAUAAAAAUUAGAAUUUACAGUACUCAAAACAGAUAUAAAGGAAGAAAUGAAACCCAUAUUUAAUAGGCUUUUUCCAAAAUUUACUUUAGGAAGAGCCUCAGUACAGGGUGCAAUGUUUCUCUAGAACUUGCUGAUACACUACAGAUUUUCUCUCAGUUUUAUUUUGUUUAAUUUUAGGAAAGUAUUAUAAAUGAAAGUAAUAAUCAGGAAACACCAACAUUUCCAGGGUAGAAAUUUAUAUUUAAAUGUUUAUAUUUGUCAACUAUGAAAUUAAAACACAGUCUCAAACAGCCUAGGACUGCAGGGAGCAGUCCUAGGCCUGGUAUAGUUUUAUUUAUGAUUUGAAUUAUAGUCUACAGAGCUUGCAUAUAGAUACUGUGAGUAUCAACUAGAAAAAAAUUAAAAUGUUUGAGGACAUUUUAUGUAUUGAAAAAUGCUGGAUAAGAGACACUGCCUUCAAAUAUGUGUUAGAUUCUUCACCUGGAAUAAACUGUAUCAGCUUUACAAGUAUUAGGAAAUAUUGCAAAAGUGCUACAGUCAGCAGGAGCUGACGAGCACCUCAGUAGAUCUGGAUCUUCAGAUGGUAGUUCUGUGUUGAUAAUGAAUCAAACCACUACGUUGGCAGAAAAAGAUCACAGUGACUGCUUCCCUGAGACAGCUGGAGAAGAUCUUUGCAGACAGGAAUGGUCUAAUAGGAGAAAACUCCUAUUUGGAGUUUUAGCCUUUUUUUUAGUUCCAAAUUUCAGGUAGUGAGAAGUGAGCGUAAGUCAAUACACAGAAGGGAGAAAUAGUGAUUUUCAGAUGUCUAAAAAUUCUUCCCUGAUGAAAAGGCAAGUGUUAUUGAAGUACCCUGACUGAAAGAGAAUGCUGCAAAACUAAAGUUUCUCCUUAAACAUUUAAAACAUUAUGAGCAAGGAAGCCAUUUUUCCUUAAUAUACAUUUUUGAAAGUAAAGGAACCGAUGAUCUUUGCAGCAAGUUAGCAGUAAGGAAAUAACUUCUAAUAUGGAGUGGAAAAUGUUACAGGGAAUGUCAGCACUCUCCAAGAAGCAGAGUGAUUACAUCUCAGAAAUAAAAUGGGUUCUGUUGUCUUGAUAGUGGAUGGAGUGCAACAAAAAUUGCUCAUGUCUAGGUAUAGGUCAUUAUCACUGAACUGUUGAUUAAAGAUUAUCUGUGUGGAAAAAGGAGGAAACUUGUAUGCAAUAUACUUGACAUUUCAAUAUGUUUUUGGAACCAUCUCCCAAGUGUUCUUGUUUGGGUUCAGAGCAACAACAGGCGGGAUCAGCAGGCUCUUAGAUAUUUGAAAAUUGUCUGUAGCACAGGGCCAAGGGGCUGUAGUCAACAACUUAGUGUUUGCAAACAACCAGUUAUCAAAACAGUGCUCCAGGGCUGGUUUUAUUUAGUGUUUUCUGGAACAACCUGGGUGCUGAGGCAGAGUGUGCACUUAGCUAGUGUGGCAAGCACAAAGUGAAGAUGGCUAGACGGGGUCAAAAUAAAUACUUUCAGACAAAAGAGAUGUUAAUAAACUUGAGGCAUGGGCUGACAGAAAUCUUGUGCAGUUUGUUGAAGAGAAGUGCCAAGUUGUGCACAUGAAGGCACUUGCAUGCUACUGCCUCAGCACAGCCCAGGGAUGGCUGGUCUGACCUGGGCAGGACCUGGACAUUGUGGGGAAUUCCAUAACUGCUCUAUCCUUAAGGAUGAGCUGCUUUGUCCAGAGCAUGACCACGAAUAAAUCCCUGUAAGUGCCUGGGGUUUUCAACUGGAAUUUUUCUGUUUUCCAACCAAUUAUUGCUGUAACAAAAACAGAGCACAGCAGCAGUGUCUGGAGUCACUAACCAAAGGCACAUUGCCAUUUUUCAGAGUUGGUUUCCUGCAGAAACGCAUAGCCCAAGACAAUAUUCAAUAAAUUCCUACAAGGAUGCUCACAUUAGAUUUGCACUUGGAAAACCAUGCCCCAGAGAGAGCAUUUGGACAAGGCAGCACUUCAGCUGCUUUUAAGUGCUUGCAGCCCUGUGAGGGUUGGCAGAGUUCAGCUGAAAAACGUGCAGCCCAGCCCAGCUCUGCACGAGCCCAGGCAACAAGAGGGGCUCAGCUACUCAUUCUCAGCUGUGCAAAAAGUGUGGUGCUUACAAUUCUUCCUGGAAUCAUCUUUCUAGCUUAACCAAGGGACUGUGCAUCGUGAGACCUGUGCUGCUUCAGUCAAAACGCCAGUUUAGGAAGAAGAGAAAGGAUUGAGAGAAGCAAAGCUCCUGAGCAUCCGUGCGAGCUGGGGCUGCUGAGUCGCUGGUUUGCUGCUUACUGUGUCUCUGCCAGAAUGCAGGAGUAGAUUUGCAUGGGUGCUGCUGGGCUCAGAGCUCCAAGGCCCCCCUGGAGCACUUGUUAGAUAGAGCACUCUGGUGCUUUCCUCAGAGAAGCCAGGAAUGCUGUGGCCAUGGCCAGAAUUUGCUCAAUGUUGUUGUCCUUGCCCCCCCGUACAGGUUAUUGUUCCUUCUCUCCCAUACCCUGUAAAAGCUUCAUGUGAAAAACUGGGUAUUUCAUUAACUUCCCAACACCCCAAACCUCAUCUAGGAGUUCCUGCAGCCUUUUUUCCUGGACCUAUUAAGCUGUACCAGCUGUUCCAGCUGUUCAGUGAGCCUGCAAGGCCUCAGCUCGUGCAUGGAGUGAUGGGGGUGAGGCCCGUGCAGAGACUCAGACAGCAUGCCCACAAGACAAUUUUGGGAAGAUUUUGCCUCUGUGUGGAUCAUCUGAUCUGUAAGCCACUCUGUGUGAAUGGCAAACUGCAUCUCAAAGGUCAGCCUAAGGUGCUGGGCCAUGACAGAGGUCUUUUCUUGAUUUAUCAAUCCUUGUGUAUUUUCUGAAUUUGGCAGCAAGAAGGAAGUUGGAAAGAGCCCAAACCAGGGCUAAAGCCCAAACUCUUAUCUCUGACCAGCUGCAGUGGUUAAAUAAAAAGAUGAGAAUGGGUCUCUCCACCUCUGACUGACUGAAUUAGCAGGGAAAGGCAGAGAAAAUACUAAAUUAGUUAUCAGUGUAGCAGUCACUAAACAAAAUUUGUGGCAUUUGCUACUUUUGCUUGGACAGCAUAAAGCAUUUCUGCAUUUAUUCUGCUGCCAGAAGAUUCCAUCCAAAUGGUAAAUCCACACAUGCAAAUAUUGACUUUUGUGCCUCAGUCUCAAAAUCAGAGCUUUCUGUGCUUAAAA